rnacentral:rRNA from 1 species
AGGUUGACCUCCGAUCAGGUAGGAACCCCCCACA